UAUUUUUCUCUAUCCUGAGAUCUUAUAGGUAAUAGGGUGUGAAAUAUUUUAAAAGCAGAAAGGCCAUGCAUUUUUUCUUACUUAUAUACUAAGAAUUCGAGUGGAAAAAAAUUUGCUUCUAGUCUGAAAUUUCCCAGUGAUGUCAGAAGCUCAGCGAUAGAUUAAUUUGUGCAACCCAUGCCUAUAACCACCAGAUUCAAACAAUGGUCUGGCACAUAUGGGAAGCCAGUCAUCCUCAUUGCCUCAAUUCCACUAGGGAAUGAUAAAAGAAAAAAAAAUUCUUAACAUGAAACAUUUUAUGCUUGCAAGAGGAUGAUGAGCAACUCUUGAUGAGAAUAAAACCUCCAAAAAUAUGUCUCAAAUUAGAACAGGAGAACUGCAUAGUAGAAAAUAAAAUGCAGCAAACAAAAAAAUAAACAAAGGUGAUCAAAACAUGCUUAGAAUAGGCAAGCAGAAAACAAAGAGAAAGGGUUAUGUUGGGGACACAGCAACAUAAUUGGAUUCCUCUGCCAACCCUGGUAAUUAAAAUGGAGACACUCAGUACCUUAGUUGCGCUGCAAUCCCAUAAUAUGUUUGAGAUUAACAACCCUCGAAUCUUGGUUUUACUGCUAUAUUAUUUGAAUAUACAAUACGUAUCUCUUGCCAUUUUCAGAACACACAAAUAAAGAUUUUUGUAGGGCCAUGAAGAUUUAGAAAGAGCUAAUGAGAAAGCCUGACUUGUGCUCUCCAGUCACUUCCUUUGCUGGGUCAAUAUUUUGGGCAAAUUCGAACAGAAAACAAAUGAAAUAAGUAAAUAGCAAGCUUUGCAGUGAUUUAAAGCUCUGCUUGCCUAUUUGGGAGAAGCAUCAAGCUGCUGUUCUGUAGCUUUGCAUGGCCUCUUCUCUGUUUUGCCAGUUGUUUUUUCUUUCUUUCUUUCUUUCUUUUUUUUAGAACUCGCCAGUGCCUUAUAAAAAUGAAAGACACAUAAAACGUAUUGUUGGCUUGAGCUGCCUGGAGAGGGCUCAGUUAUUUGUGAGGGACCGUUAUCUUUGUUGGUACAGCCCUGCAUGCUUCAAAUCCCCUGUGUUUCAGAUCUGUGUCUAUACCCAUCUGUGGAAGGAAGUGAAGACUUGAGUCUCCUCACUGGCAUGUGGCCUUAACUGGCUGAUGCUCACAGAGUGAUGAGCAUCCCUCCAGGCUCCAGUAGAGGCACUUGACAAGGGCUGCAUAUGGAUAUUACAAAGGGAACAGGAAGUACACCCCAGUAAUUAAUAUUAUAUCUUGUCCCCAAAGACAUUCUGCUCCCUUUAUAUGUUAGUUGACUGAUCAUCUGACUCCUCUGAGAGGUAAUGAUGAAGUUAAUAUAAACACUGAGCUUUAUACCUAAUUUCUACUAUUAAAAGCAGGGGAGGAGGGAGGGCAGAUACACCACACAGACGCAGAAAGCUGACUGUUAAUGCUUAAGAGAAAUGUCAGUGAUAUUUGGUAUGCAGUGGAAAGAGUCAGAAACCUGGUUUUUCUGGAUGGUGAAGGUUGUUGCUGGUAAAUCUGCUCAUGGUGACAGGUAUUACAAAUAACCCGGAGAAAAGGGAAAUUGAAAGAACUCAAAGAGAAAGAGUAGGAAGGUCCUGCAGUAUUCUACUUCUGUUUCAUCCCUACUAGUAUCUUUUACAAAACAAAACCAUGCCAACAAAAGCUCAGUGCUAAUCCAGACCCACAUAGUGUGAAAUAGACUCCAGCUCUUAGUUCACUUACCUUGUUAGUGAGAGAGGAGGUGAGCAAAAGACCAAAGGUAAAUCGGGGAUUAUUCUUAGCACAGUGCAGACAUCUGUCUGUCUUUGCAGGCCAUUGUGAGAUGACAACUGGAAACUCAUGCUUCAAAAAAUGAUUUAAAUUAUACAUACCUCACAUUUUGGCAUUAAAAUAAUAGACAUUCCUAAGGUAAAUGUCUAGUCUAAGCAUAUGGAAAAUCCUGUAAUUCAUGCUUUUAAUCAUUCACUUAUUCAAUGGAUAUUUUCUGCAUACUUUGCUGCUGCAUCAGUCACUGCUGGAUUGUAUAAGUGAUGCCCACUGUUCUCAGAGGGUUUAUAGACUAGACGAUCAAGUAUGUUGGAUAAUACUUGAGAAAAAAAGGAGACUAUACACAGAUGUGAAUUUUGUUGGGCCAAUAAAACAUUAGAGCUAUUGACUGGAGAGAACAAAAAGAUGGAUUAUUUUUUAAAGAACAAAGAUGGAUUUCUUUCUUCCCGGAAUCUCCCAUGUUACACUGUUACAAUUUCUAAAGAGCUAUGUAAGAUUACAGUGGUGAGAGAGCCCAGCCAUAAUAUAGUUCCAUGAAUGCUGUCCCUGGGCUCAAUAUAAUCUGCCCCUAAAGAGUCAAAACAGUCACUAGAAAUCUGAUUAUUCCAUUGUUUGUGGGAGAAAAUUCCAUCCUUUCUUCAUGAUUUAGUUUGGUUAAAAAAUUCUGAUUUAUGACUUACUGGAUUAUCUCCAAAUAUUUCAAGGGGAUCAUGCUGUCUUUUGAUCCUCGAUGGCCAAAUAUUUUUAAUUCUUGUACAAUUAAGAUAAAACAAGACAAGCUUGACUAUGGGGAUGAAGCUAGGCAUUGAAAAAGAAUACAAUUGAGGGGGUGUCACAGCUCCCCCAAAAUGGACAAUCUUUGCAUUCAUAUCGUCUGUAUUAAAGAUUCAAUUUCUUCACCACCUAUCACAAAAAUAAAAAUAUAUUUUGUAUGUCACAAAAGUCAGACCAGCCUCUUUCAACUGUUUCUGUCAGUGGAAAAUGCUUUUAAUGAAAAUAAAAUGAACAUGAUUUCUUCUGAACCACAGAAUUGUUUCAAUGGCUCGUGGUGUCUAAGUAUUAGAAAUAAAGAACUAGAAUUUUAGGAUCUGAGAAUUUCAGGGGGAAAAUACGACCAAGUUUUGGUCUACAUGUGUUCAUCAGGGGUUAUGCUUCACAGUGGAUGCUCUGAGGGGAGAAUGGGGAACAGAUGCAGCUGUGGAGGGGAGCCAGCCUCUGCACAGGGACGCCGUUCCACAUUGCUGGGGCUCGGCGGUGGUGAGUCUGGGAGCUGCACAGCAUUAUGGCGGGUGCAGUGGUUCAGUUGUUAUUAGUGAGUGUCAUUGUGCCCUGUUUGCAAGCACUCAAGUGUUCAGAGGAGGAAUCAAGGGUACCAAAUGGAGAAAAACAAUACACAAGAGUCUAAUAUCUUUAAGUGGGUAAAUUAUCUUUUCCUUGAGAAAGCAGAAAAUGUUAAUGGCUAAGUCUACAAAGACAUUUUAUAAUAGAAGUAAAUAAAGAAACAAAAGAUUGUUCCAGUACUUUUGUGUGCAAUUAAAGCCUGUCAUUCAGUACCCUAAAUUAAUCUAAGUACUCUGACGUAAAUGUGUAUGUCAUAAAAGGUACAUUUUGUCUUGAAUUUUUUCUUUAUAUAAAUAAU
rnacentral:lncRNA from 1 species